AUAGAUCCCCUGAAAUACCUUACAAGCACAAAGUCCAGUCUGAUCUUGGAAGCUAAGCAAGGUCAACUGGAGUUAGGACUUGGAUGGGAGACCACCAAUGAAUCUCAGGUGCUGUAUU
rfam:Anolis carolinensis unplaced genomic scaffold chrTn0705, whole genome shotgun sequence.